rnacentral:rRNA from 1 species
GAUGAACGCUAGCGACAGACUUAACACAUGCAAGUCGAGGGGCAGCACAGGUAGCAAUACCGGGUGGCGACCGGCGCACGGGUGAGUAACGCGUAUGCAACUUACCUAUCAGAGGGGGAUAACCCGGCGAAAGUCGGACUAAUACCGCAUGAAGCAGGGGUCCCGCAUGGGGAUAUUUGCUAAAGAUUCAUCGCUGAUAGAUAGGCAUGCGUUCCAUUAGGCAGUUGGCGGGGUAACGGCCCACCAAACCGACGAUGGAUAGGGGUUCUGAGAGGAAGGUCCCCCACAUUGGUACUGAGACACGGACCAAACUCCUACGGGAGGCAGCAGUGAGGAAUAUUGGUCAAUGGCCGAGAGGCUGAACCAGCCAAGUCGCGUGAGGGAUGAAGGUUCUAUGGAUCGUAAACCUCUUUUAUAAGGGAAUAAAGUGCGGGACGUGUCCCGUUUUGUAUGUACCUUAUGAAUAAGGAUCGGCUAACUCCGUG